UUAAAUCUUCUACUGUAUCUUCUUCUCAAUUAUGAUGACACAGACAGGAUUAGUCUGGUUCCUGCCCAAGGAUGACAUGCAAAUUUGUGAUGUUUUCCAUAUUAAA